rnacentral:lncRNA from 1 species
CAAAGGCCAAAAUUUUGAGUGGAGUUGUUAGUUCUUUUUGUUUUUUGAAAUUUAAGUCAAUAUGGUUAAGUUUAUUUACAAGUUUGAUUUAAGAAAAAGUUUGAAAGUUCAUUGGCAUAAGGCCAAAGUUUCUAAUCAUUAAAUAUGCCUAAUUUUUAAAUCACAAGUAAAGAAAGUUUUUGAAAUGAGGGAGAGAUUUUUAAAAUUAAAGAAAAUGGGAGGAGAUGAAAAGGCUAUCCUAAGCAUAAAU